ensembl:snoRNA SNORD65 small nucleolar RNA, C/D box 65
AAAUGAUGAGAUCACCCAAAAUAGCUGGAAUUACCGGCAGAUUGUAUGGUGGUGAAUGUAAUGGUUUUCUGAAG